AUGUUCGACGCAUUGCCGCCUCGCCGGGGAAUGCUUCCGUUCCGUGAUUCUCAUUGGUGUUUUCCGUCUCGUUGCCAUGUCGGAAUUCGGAAAAUGAGGCGGCUUUCGCUGAUGCCGUUGCUUUCUUGUUUCGAAGGGUUGAUGGCGGCGGAGAAGAAGCCCCACCUGCAGCCGCCGGCGCUGUCGUGGUCGUCCAUCCCGCUGGAGCUGGCCGGCCUGGUGCUCAGCCUGCUCCCCGCGCAUGCCGACCGCGCCCGCUUCGCCGCGGUGUGCCCGCAGUGGCGUGCCGCUGCGAGGCAGCAGCAGCGGCUGCCCCCGCCGCUGCCGCUGAUCGCGCUCCCGGACGGCACCUUCUACAGCCUCCCCUACCCCACGCCCUUCCGCUUCCCCGGCUGCGGCUUCGCCGGGUACCAGAGCGCCUGCGGCAGCUGGCUCGUCUUCCCCCGCGACGACGGCUGCUUCCUGGUCGACCCCUUCUCUAGGGAAACAGUGACGCUCCCUCCUCUCUCCAGCGUCCGACUCCGGCCUCCAAAUGCAGUCGCCAAAUGGUCGUAUGAGCAUGGGGCAAAAGUAGCUGACCCUUAUGUCACAUGGAUGCAUAUGAAGGACUCAGACAAGCUGCACAUAAGUAAGCUAGUCGUGUGCUCACCAAAUCUUGUUGCUGCCCUUGUCGGCAUUGGAUACACAAGUCAGAUUCUAAUGUGCCAGCCAGGGGCCUUGUCGUGGUCAGUACGUGCGUACGAUCGGUGCAAGAGGUUUGAAGACAUGUCAUUCUACCAGGGCAAGCUCUACGCCCUCACCAAAGGCGAGAACCUUCUUGUGGUGAACAUCAGCGACGACCAUAGCACCGGGGAUCCACAGGUUUCUCGUAUUGGACAAGUCAUCAAGGGUGAUCCAUGGUUCUCAUACGUGUUCGGCACCACCACCAUGCUCUGCAAGAAGCUCUACCUGGUUGAGUCCUGUGGGGCAAUGCUGAUGGUACGCAGGACGAUUUUCUGCCGGGUUCCUACGACGGUGGAGCCGUUGCUGGACCAAGUGCGUUUGAGGUUUUCAAGGCUGACUUUGAGCAUUCAGGAUGGGUCAAGGUGUCGACGGUGGGGGCUGACCAGGUGUUGUUUCUAG
rnacentral:rRNA from 1 species